GGACAUGACUGGACACCUAGCUCGAACAAUUGAAUUUCAAUCAAGAACUAAAGAUAAUGCUAAAAGGUAUCAAGUUAAAAUACCUACCACCUUUUGAUUUCACUGCUCACUUUAAUAUUCGGAUUCAAUUCACCAAUAUGAGACCCUUAUCUUCUCUAUUAAAAACUAUAUAUUUCUUCUCUUUAAUAACCAAAAUAUAAAAUAUAAAAAAUUACAAGAAUCUAAUUCAAGCUUGCAAGGAAGCGAACAAGGACAGGUUAUGCACUGACAUCUUAGAGAGGGAAAUGAGAAGGAAUCCAAUGGCCGGGAGUGCGUCCAUCACUUCCCAUACAAUGGAUGAUGAUCUUCACAUGAAGCUGCUAUACCUGGAGAACAGAGAGAGAAAUCCGGCAAUGAUAUUUUCAAAUACUCUGUUGAGAUACCUGCAUACUAACAGUACUGAUCUUCUUGCUGCUUUAAAUUCCUUGGUUUGGGUGCUGGGGGUGUCCUGCUAGCUAUCCUAUUCCUGUCUGCUCUUCUCCAAAUAGGAGCUUUUAUGCUCUUUCUAUUUUAGUCUCCUAAUCUACCAUGCAUGCAAUCUUCAUGAAAAUAGAGAUUUUCUUAAUGGUAUUUGAUGCGCACAAAGGUGAAGGCAUCCCAUUGAUUUAUGGCUUUAGCACCUUUUGUUCAAUUAUGAUCUUGAGAAGUGAAGCAGAUUAAUUGUUUUAAAUAAUUAAGUAAUUUUUUUCUUAUAAAAAAAGUUAUUCUAUUA